rnacentral:rRNA from 1 species
GAUGAACGCUAGCUACAGGCUUAACACAUGCAAGUCGAGGGGAAACGAUGAGAGAGCUUGCUCUCUUAGUCGUCGACCGGCGCACGGGUGAGUAACGCGUAUCCAACCUGCCUCUGACCAAGGGAUAACCCGUCGAAAGUCGGACUAAUACCUUAUGCAGUCGUCGGAAGUCAUCUGAUGACGACGAAAGAUUUCAUCGGUGAGAGAUGGGGAUGCGUCUGAUUAGCUUGUUGGCGGGGUAACGGCCCACCAAGGCGACGAUCAGUAGGGGUUCUGAGAGGAAGGUCCCCCACAUUGGAACUGAGACACGGUCCAAACUCCUACGGGAGGCAGCAGUGAGGAAUAUUGGUCAAUGGGCGUGAGCCUGAACCAGCCAAGUAGCGUGCAGGCUGACGGCCCUAUGGGUUGUAAACUGCUUUUAUGCGGGGAUAAAGUGAGGGACGUGUCCUUCAUUGCAGGUACCGCAUGAAUAAGGACCGGCUAAUUCCGUG